rnacentral:lncRNA from 1 species
GCGGUUACUUAUCUUCAAAGGAAUUUCAAUAGCAGGUUUAACAUCCAAAUAACUUUAUAGAUGUGACUUCAAAUCCCCCUUCACAAAGUGAAGAUCAUCCAUUUGCAUAGAAGUUCUGCAGAGAAAUAUCUCAGGUUAAAAAAAGAAAGGGCUCCAUAACAACUUCUCAGAUCUGAGGUACCUGCACAUCGUUAUUGACUUUGGUAAAGCACUUCUAAUUUACACCAGAUGGAGAGCAAACCUGAGCUACCAAGGUUCUCCUGCACAAGAUGGAAGCACUUCAGGCUGAAGAGCCAUCAGGAACGGCAUGUUAAAAAAGAAUCUGGCAAGGUCAGAACUAUUUCCCUCCUACUGCCCCCAUAAAACAGGAAAAUCUUCCCCAUCGCAUGCCGGUGGGAGAACAGAAUUAUUGGCAGACUUUGCUUUUCACAUCCGCUGCUGCUAUUUCAGAAGGAAAUUGUGAGUAUAAAUCAGUUGGGGGCUCUGAUCCAGCUAUUCUCUUUUUGACUGCAGAUUGUUAUGUUUUCCUCCCUAUGAAAUAAGAAUUAGACUUGUGGAAAUGCCAAGCCUGAUUCUUAUCAUGCUCCAGUUUUCUACGGGUAUCACUGCAAUGAUUUCUGCAUUGUUACUCCUGUUAUAUAUUGGGAUUUAUGAAGAUAAGGGUCAGUACAAUAAGAUUCCUCAAUAUUAGCAGGAAUAAUUAAUUUCUAGUCUGAGCCCUAACAUGACAUAUGUCAGUUAUUGAUGGAUGGAUAGAAAAAGUGGCACAAGCUUUGUCCAAUUUGAAUUCUUGCUUCUCCAAACCUUUUCAAUAUGUUCUCAGAAUUUAGCUAGGAGCUGUAACGUUACGUUUUUGCAACGAGUCUAUUCUCCCUUAAAUUUUUCAUCUUGACUUAAUACAAUUUCUUCCUCAAAUAGUUACCUGCAGCUGUCAGGAUUGGGAACAUUGAUCUGCUCUUGAGACAACCCAUGAAGACAUGUUCAUGACCUGGCUUUCUCACACUUUCAGCCCUCUUGCUCUUGACUAAACUGGUCAGCCUCUAACAGGAACUUUUCUUCCAGUGAUUCUGUUUUAGUCCGAAAGCUCAGAGCACAGCAUCGAGCAAGGAGCUGGGAGAGUGCAGAGGCAGCUAAACUCUCCCUUCCCAG